CCCGGCCGCAGAGCCCCCAGCGGCGCCCCCCCCCCUCCCUCCCCGCGUCCCCAUCGGCCACGAAGCGCCGGGGGGGGCGGAUGGGGCGGGAGGAGCGGGCGCUGAUCAGCGGCAUCACAAACUGCCGCAGCCGCCGCAGCACUGUGCCGCGCUGCCGCGCCGGGGGGGGCGCCGGGACGGCCCCACUGCUGGCCCCACUGCUGGCCCCAUUGCUGGCCCUCACCCCGCUGGAGGCCCCAUUGCUGGCCCUGACCCCGCUGGUGGCCCCAUCGGUGGCCCUGACCCCACUGGAGGCCCCAUCGGUGGCCCUGACCCCACUGGUGACCCCAUUGCUGGCCCCAUUGCUGGCCCUGACCCCGCUGGUGGCCCCAUUGGUGGCCCCAUCGGUGGCCCUGACCCCUCUGGAGGCCCCAUUGCUGGCCGUGACCCCGCUGGUGGCCCCAUUGCUGGCCCCAUCGGCGGCCCUGACCCCGUUGCUGGCCCCAUUGCUGGCCCCGCUGGUGACACCGCUGGUGACCCCACUGGUGACCCCGCUGCUGACCCCAUUGCUGGCCCCAUCAGUGGCCCUGACCCCACUGGUGGCCCCAUUGCUGGCCCCUCUGGUGGCCCUGACCCCACUGGUGGCUCUCAUGGUGGCCCUGACCCUGCUGCUGACCCCACUGGUGGCCCUAUUGGUGACCCCACUGGUGGCCAUGACCCCAUUGGUGGCCCUGACCCUGCUGGUGGCCCUGACCUCACUGCUGGCCCUCACGGUGGCCCCAUUGGUGGCCCCGCUGGUGACCCCAUUGGUGACCCCAUUGGUGACCCCACUGGUGACCCCAUUGGUGGCCCCACUGGUGGCCCCGCUGGUGGCCCUAACCCUGCUGGUGGCCUUCAUGGUGGCCCUGACCCUGCUAGUGGCCCCACUGGUGGCCCUGACCCUACUGGUGGCCCUAUUGGUGGCCCUGACCCCACUGGUGGCCCUAUUGGUGGCCCUGGUGGUGGCCCUGACCCCGCUGGUGGCCCUCAUGGUGGCCCUGGCUCCGCUGGUGGCCCUAUUGGUGGCCCUAUUGGUGGCCCUGGUGGUGGCCCUGGUGGUGGUGGCCCCGAUGGUGGCCCCGAUGGUGGCCGGGCUGCCCCGGGUGCUGCUGUGGUCACUGCUGUCAUCGCUGCUGCUGUCAUCGGUGUCACCGCAGAGCGCGGGGGGGGG
rnacentral:lncRNA from 1 species